rnacentral:tRNA from 1 species
AAUAGGUUGGCAGAGGUAUGCACUUGACUUAGGAUCAACCCACAGGAAAUUUCCUACCUAUUA